rnacentral:rRNA from 1 species
AGAGUUUUGAUACCUGGCUCAGAGCGAACGCUGCGGCAGGCUUAACACAUGCAAGUCGAGCGGGCCCUUCGGGGUCAGCGGCAGACGGGUGAGUACACUGGGAAGUACCCUUGUUCGGAAUAACGCUGGAAACUAGCGCUAAUACCGGAUACGCCCUUUUGGGAAAGGCUUGCUGCCGAAGGAUCGGCCCGCGUCUGAUUAGCUAGUUGGUGGGGUAAUGGCCUACCAAGGCGACGAUCAGUAGCUGGUCUGAGAGGAUGAUCAGCCACACUGGGACUGAGACACGGCCCAGACUCCUACGGGAGGCAGCAGUGGGGAAUAUUGGACAAUGGGCGCAAGCCUGAUCCAGCCAUGCCGCGUGAGUGAUGAAGGCCUUAGGGUUGUAAAGCUCUUUUGUCCGGAACGAUAAUGACGGUACCGGAAGAAUAAGCCCCGGCUAACUUCGUG